AUGUUAAAUUUAAGAUAUCAAGAGAAAUAAAUUCUAGAAUCUAUGUCGAGGUGCACUGAAUUUAGUCAAAGAACAUGCGGUAUAUAUUGUUAAAGUAAUACCAUUAUAAUAGAGGGUAAUGUGCGUAAUGAAAAUUAAAAUCUAGAUCAUACUAUUAAAUACUAAACUGACAUAUUAUACUUGAUCACAAUAGGUAAAAUCAGUACAAGAUUGUUUUAAGACUGAAUCUAUAAAAUAUAGAUUUUUCUGAUCGAUAACCUCGUGCAAACUUGUCCUACGCAGCGACAGCGUGAGAUGGGGCCUGUAUCUCUAUACCUGUCCAGCUUCACCGUUGGCCAAGACAUUGCUUUCGAACAAAUACAGCCAUAAAUACAGCCAUAAACUACAGACUAUCUUAAACCUCAGCCUCUGUGGAACCAGUAACUCUUACAUUCCUAAGGGAAAGUAUCAUUUCUAUCCUAAGAAUGAGGCUAGGAGUAAGACAAGGAAUAGAACUAGGGAUAGGACCCUAAAAACAUGAAAUCGGCAUUCUUGCUCAAAAGAAAACGGUCCACAAACUCAUCUCGAGACAUCUCGAGGAUCUGCAGAAUAAAUAAACAUGCCCUUUCUUCUAUUAAGCAAUUUGGAGGCUGAAGAAAAGACAACGCGCCAGCAAAGUACCAAGUAUGGGUAAUUCAGGUUAAUUUAAGCCAAUCAAAAAUUCUACUUUAAAAAUACACAGUAACAAAAGUGAAUCUACGAAAGAUAAUAUCACAUCUUUACCUCUUGCGUUGAAAUUUCAGCUGAUUCAGAUUCUCCAGAAAGAAUUAAACAAUAGGCAUGUUUCAUGUUUUUCAAUUUCCAUGUAAUUAUGCAGAUUUCACCCUAAUUAGUGCUUGCUACUUAGCCUUUUUUAUAUAAAACUUAAUAUUAGGCCAAAAAAUGAGGUAAAAGUUUGAAUUUCACACUUACGCGCGCUGCGAUACGUAGCCCUCGCCAAUAUAAUUGGCUGGUUUUCGUCUCGAAAUAAACUUGGUGAAUUUUAUAAUGUUGACAGCAUUGCUGUUUAUUCAGUGUCAAAUGAAUGUUAAAAAAUUAAUUGUUCUAUUGUUGGAUAACAUUUACCAGUAACUGUAAUAAAAUGUUUUUGUACGCGCCGAGAAAGAUGGAAAAUCGUAAAUGCUGUUUUUUCAAAAAACUUCUCUUAGGCUAUGAUUGUGAUUUCAAAGCGUUUCAAAAAGGUGGGAAAAAUUAAUUUGAAAAAAAUGUAAUUCCUGAUAACUAAGAUUAAUAGUAUUCCGGAAAAUCACAGUAUUCACAGUUAUGGUAUAAAACAGGUACCUAAGCUACAAUCUAACCAUGAAAAGUAUGUCUACUAUCUGACCAAGAAAAGUUAGGAAUAUAAGGCAAUUAGAAAAAUUCUAUUGGCACCAAGAAUGUUAAUAAAUACGUUCAUGGUUAAGUUAUUUCAGAAGACUAUUAAUAAAAUACAUUGUAUAGAUAAAAUAAGGCUCUAAUGCA